rnacentral:tRNA from 1 species
GCAGGGUGGCUGAAGGGUAAGGCAGGGGUCUGCAAAACUUUCAUGGCGGUUCGAAUCCGCCCCCAUGCC